CCGAAAAUGGCAAACCGCCGGCAACGGCGGGACGCAAAACCACCGAUCUGGAAACUCUGGUCCAUGAGGGGCUGAAGAACCAGACAGCGGGGUUACCGAA
rnacentral:ncRNA from 1 species